UCACAUCUGGCUGCCACAGCCUUACCCGACCCCUUGCAGUGCCCAGUUCCCUAAGGCAGAAGGGGAUCCCAGCACACCAUGGAAAUGGUUCUCAUCUCUGCUCCUUUCUAGGAGAGCAUUCUAGGAAGGCUUCUCCAGCAGCUGGGAUGGAAGACGGUUUGGAACCCAUGGGAGCUUCUGCAGGUAAUUUCUCAACAUCCCUUCAGAGAAUAAUCAUUGCCAAUCUGCCAAGAACCAGGUGACAGAAGCUUCUGUGGCUGUUGAGUUACAGGUGUGUCUGCAAGGAGGACUUUUCAAGGUCCUUUGCUGGAUGCUGCACACAGGCUUGGCUCCCAUCACAGGGGUGAGUAGUGUGUCCCUGCUGACCCCACAGGCUGAGCACUGCUUUUGUGGGAUCCAUUAGUGGGAAAACUGAAAUAUUUCCUCCUAAGGUCAUCUGAGAGGGAGGAAUAAACCUAAAGGAGACAAUAAGUUCCUGGAGGCAUCCAAACACAUGGACAAGACACUGAGUGAUCUGGAGAGACGCCAUGAGAUGGACCGAAAGUCUUUGCUGAAGGCAGCACUUUCUGGAAGAAGCACUGGCUCUGUGCCAGCCCCUGGUACACGAAGGGAGGAGAUGCCAGACAGCGCCACAGAAGGUGAUUGCUGUGCCAGGCUCAGCCAGGCUGAGCAGUCCUGCUGGGGUCCCUCCGUGGGAGACACCGCCUGAAAC
rnacentral:lncRNA from 12 species